GCAGGCGCGAAAACUUUACAAUGCGGGAAACCGUGAUAAGGGAACACCGAGUGCCAGCAUCAUAUGCUGGCUGUCCAGAUGUGUAAACUACAUCUGUUAGCAAGGGCCGGGCAAGACCGGUGCCAGCCGCCGCGGUAACACCGGCGGCCCGAGUGGUGACCGUUAUUAUUGGGUCUAAAGGGUCCGUAGCCGGUUUGGUCAGUCCUCCGGGAAAUCUGAUAGCUUAACUGUUAGGCUUUCGGGGGAUACUGCCAGGCUUGGAACCGGGAGAGGUAAGAGGUACUACAGGGGUAGGAGUGAAAUCUUGUAAUCCCUGUGAGACCACCUGUGGCGAAGGCGUCUUACCAGAACGGGUUCGACGGUGAGGGACGAAAGCUGGGGGCACAAACCGGAUUAGAUACCCGGGUAGUCCCAGCCGUAAACUAUGCCCGCUAGGUGUCAGGUAUGGCGCGACCGUGUCUGGUGCCGCAGGGAAGCCGUGAAGCGAGCCACCUGGGAAGUACGGCCGCAAGGCUGAAACUUAAAGGAAUUGGCGGGGGAGCACAACAACGGGUGGAGCCUGCGGUUUAAUUGGACUCAACGCCGGACAACUCACCGGGAACGAC
rnacentral:rRNA from 1 species